CAAAAUAUGAAAACACAGAAAACAGCCAUUUUCCUAAAGUUCUUCUUUCUUGAGCUUCCAAUUCGUCGCCUCCUUCCAUCAAAAACAACCAUCACCCGCCACCUAAGCCGUCGGACCACACACCACCGAUACCUCCUCACCUCCCUCUACAACCUCUGACCAUCAUCUGCCCACCGAAUUGUCGAAAACAGCACCAAUUCCUAUCCAAAACUGCGAGCGCAGUCAUGAUUUUUUCCCAGUUACUUCCACAUCCGACCACCCUCUCGAUCGUGGAGCACCACCACAACAUUCCUCUCAACCAGGCGCAUUUAGUUCUACCACGGGUCACCCUCAAUUUCGUUCGGGAAUCAGCUUAGCUUGUUGGAGCAGUCCGUAAGAUUUGUGAAAAUUUGUCUUUUAAUUUCACCUUUUCUUUUAUAGAUUGAGUUUGCAAGUAUCUUAUGUUGAAUUUAAAAAUUUCUUAAUGAGUUUUGCUUUCGCAAUGGCAGCUCUCCAAAUGGCAAAGGACUGUAGGAAGAUGAUUUGGAUCAUUCUACAGAUGAAGCUCUUCUUCGACAGAAAUUGGUAAAGAUGCUUUAUUGUGCCCCAUCUGCAUUUUUUUUAUUGAAGUAAUAAUUGUUAAAGAACUUGUUUAUAUCCGUAAAUAGAUGCUUAGGGUGGGAGGGUGGGGGAAGCUUGGGUUAUCCCUUGUUACAUUCUGAGUAAUGCACUGUCAAAAUACUACAGUUUUGUUAUGAUGUAAGACAUCAUUCAUAUUGGAAGGGCUAUUGAAGAUCCAUGAUGACGUGUGGGAGUUAGAUUAUAGAGGACUGGAAUUGGCCUGGUAGCCAUUCUAUUGAAAGGCUUGCUAUCAAGUUUGUUAGAAUAUUUGAAGGCAAUUUUUUGGGCUGUCUGGUGCGAAGGACAAGACUUGGAAGCCAAUAAUCAUGACAAAAGAGUGAAAUGAACUGGGAAAGUAACAAUAUUAGUACUCUAGAAAUUUGUUUAUCACCUCAGUUUACUGCACAUGUCUUUAGAAAUUGACAAGCUUGCAAGAAAUAUAAUUCGAACUCUUUAGUUGCGAGGAGUAUCAACAAGCUCAGGUUGCCCUUGAAAUUCUCUAGCUCUGUGAAUUAUUGUUCUAAAGUUUAUGCAGUUAAUCAUUUUGCAGCUUGUCUUAUUCUUUGUUUAAAGAACAUGACUCCUUAAUCAAAUGAAGCAUUCUCCUCUGGGGUUGAGUUAUGAAGAAAGAUAAUUUAAAAUUCAGGAGGACUGAAAGUAAAUAUGAGUAAAUUCUGGGAUCUAUCUUGAAUUGUCUAGUAAAAGCUCUAUAUAAGUGGGGGAGUGUAAUGACCAGUUUUGGAUAUGAUACAUGUCAUGGAAGAUAUAAGAAACAUGGAUUUAUCUAAUAUUUGACAGCAAUGUGGAUAGAUUAAGCUUUGUAGUCGUCAAUUGAAGCCUUUAUUAUGGGGCGCUUAUUCAUUUCACAUGAUUUUCUUGUGGUUCUGCAGUUUCUUUGUUCUUUGUUUUUUUGUAACAUUGUCAGUCUUCUUGAUUCAAGGCUCUAUCAAUUUUAGGUUUUCAGCCGUUUGAUCUGCAUUUUCCCCAUUAUAUAUAACCAGCAUUUGCAGUAUCACCAAUUCUUGAUUUCCAAGAGUCAAUGAAAUUUAAGAGUUAAACAGAUCCAUUUCUGAUUUCCCUGCCAGAAGGUUAAUAGGUUAUUCAUUUUUAAUUCUUGGCAAAUUUUGCACCUACUUGUGUAUAAGCAAAAGAGUCGUAAAGUUUUUGCAAUAAGUACGCAUGUGAACUGCCCAUCUACUACAUUCUAAUACCAGUUUAAUAUGUUAAUUGUUGUGCAUUCUUGAAAUAAAAUUAGUCAAUAUCACUUUUCUCUCAUUUAUCAGGAACAUAAGUAUCACUUCUGUAAUGAAGGUAGUGUAAUAAUACUUGAGUUUCCUUUCAUAAAAAGGAUAGUGGUCAAAAAGAAAUUGUGACAUCAUUUUGAAACUGGAAUAAUAUAUUGUAUUUUGCUAUAUGGUGGACUAUUGAACAACAUCUGAAUUAUUUUAUUUUGGUGAAAUUUAUUUUUAUUUUUUUUUCUAUUUUUGGGGUGGUUGUGAAACGUCUUAAUGUCUGUUUUAUACCAUUGGGUUUCCACAUAAUCAUUUGAUGAUUCAUUUAUGCAUGGAUAUCAAUGUGACUAUUCAGUCCAGAGGGCUCAAAGUCUUGCAUAAAGUGAUUUUGUCAUUGCUGGUUUGCUGGUCAUUGUUUAACUAGAAGCAAUGGUCAUUGGGUUUUGAUUUUCACUUUUUUUUUAGCUGCUGGUAGCUGCCCAUUACCAUUCUUUUU
rnacentral:lncRNA from 1 species